AGAAAAAAAAAAGGCGAAAACUGCUUCUUUCUCUCCCUCUCCGCCCCCACACUCCACAAGUCAGCUCGGACGAAUAGUCUGACUGCCCCUACUCAGAAAAAGUCCCAAGAAUUAAAAUACCAAUGGACAUCAUGGAGCAGGAACCUUUCCUAAGUGAUAGCAAACCUGCUGACAGUGAGUAGAACUAACCUCUCGCAUGCCUGCUUGACUCUGACUUGCACUACAAAUAUAUAUCUAUAUAUUUA